rnacentral:rRNA from 1 species
UACGGAGGGGGGCUAGCGUUGUUCGGAAUUACUGGGCGUAAAGCGCACGUAGGCGGCUUUGUAAGUUAGAGGUGAAAGCCCGGGGCUCAACUCCGGAAUUGCCUUUAAGACUGCAUCGCUAGAAUUGUGGGAGAGGUAAGUGGAAUUCCGAGUGUAGAGGUGAAAUUCGUAGAUAUUCGGAAGAACACCAGUGGGCGAAGGCGACUUACUGGACACAUAUUUGACGCUGAGGUGGCGAAAGCGUGGGGGAGCAAACAGG